AGUUACUUCUCAUAGCAGGCUCUGCUGCACUUUGGAGCUCUUUGAUGGUGAGAAUACCUACAGGUGGGCUAUUCAGAGUCCUAAAAAACCAAAAAUUAGCUGGUUGGGGGUGGUGGUGUGUGCCUGUAACUGCAGCUACACGAGAGGCUGAGGCACGAGAAUUGCUUGAACCUGAGAGGCAGACAUCACAGUGAGCCGAGAUGGUGCCACUGCACUCUUGCCUGGGUGACAGUGAGACUCAAUCUAAAAAAAAAAAAAAAAAAAAAUGCAGGAGGCCUUUUGAAGGCUGGGGUGUGCUAAGGGAUAGGCAUGAAGAUAUUAAGGAGAAUUGCUCCAUGUGACUAGACAAUCUGGAUUUGUGAAUUGGCGCUUGUCCAGAAGAGAAAUAAGCACCUAUUUUUACGACAGGAGCUAGUGGUGCAAGUUAGAGCAAGGCACCCACCUGGUUGGGAGCUGGAGCAAGAUUUAUUUCCUCAAAUGUUUGCAUUU
rnacentral:lncRNA from 1 species